GCUUCAAGAGUACAAGUUUCCCCAUCAAAGAGAACUGAUUGCUAAACUUUUUCGAGCACACCGCUGCCCAUCGAUGAAGUUGUUUCCUACUACCGCUUUGAAUCUCCCCAGAGCCGAAGUUUUCUCUGUGUUAGACACUGGAGGAGGGACUGUGGGACACGUGAGGGACAAAGGCACCUGGCCUGCUUGAGCUGGCUCUUGGGACCUCACAGAGAGAAGAAAGAGACAGUCUUUCUAGCCAUUCCUCUGCAGGUCCUAAGGGUGGAUCUUAUUCAUCAUAAGACUACAUGUGAAAAGCAUAAAGAUCUGUUAUUUCUUUGGACUGCCUUCCUAUGGCGUUCUUCUGCUCUGGUACUCUGGAGCUAUAUUCCAUCUCCCAGCGCUUGCUUCAGGCCGUCUUCAGUUCGAUAGCCUAUUAUCCCUCCUUUUUAUGCACCCCUACCCCUAGGUUAACAAUCUAGCAGCUCUGGCCCACAGCACGGGAGCCAGACUCUCCCCACACUCCCACCUCCACCACCCAGGGAAGGCAAUGUGGAAGUCUAAAGG
ensembl:lncRNA